AUUGAACGCUGGCGGAAUGCUUUACACAUGCAAGUCGAACGGCAGCACGGGGCAACCUGGUGGCGAGUGGCGAACGGGUGAGUAAUAUAUCGGAACGUGCCCAAUCGUGGGGAUAACGUAGCGAAAGUUACGCUAAUACCGCAUACGAUCUACGGAUGAAAGCGGGGGAUCGCAAGACCUCGCGCGAAUGGAGCGGCCGAUAUCAGAUUAGGUAGUUGGUGGGGUAAAGGCUCACCAAGCCAACGAUCUGUAGCUGGUCUGAGAGGACGACCAGCCACACUGGAACUGAGACACGGUCCAGACUCCUACGGGAGGCAGCAGUGGGGAAUUUUGGACAAUGGGCGCAAGCCUGAUCCAGCCAUUCCGCGUGCAGGAUGAAGGCCUUCGGGUUGUAAACUGCUUUUGUACGGAACGAAACGGUCUGCCCUAAUACGGCGGGCUAAUGACGGUACCGUAAGAAUAAGCACCGGCUAACUACGUG
rnacentral:rRNA from 1 species